GUUGCCUUGGCUCCCCGUAGCUAUAGCAGCGGGGUGGGGGACGAAGCGAGCGAGGAUGCUGCGGGCUCCGGUGGGACGCGUCUCAGGCGGGCUCUCAAUGUCAUUUGGAAGAUGGAUUCCGCCAUAUCUGGAUUAAAUUCCUUAUCCUGCAGAUGCAUCUUCUCUCAAUAAGAAAGUGGGAGAAUAUUCUGCUCUGACAAAGGCGUCCUGGACAGUAACUCCACCACAA
rnacentral:lncRNA from 1 species